rnacentral:lncRNA from 1 species
GCAAUUCCCAAAAAGAUGACGGUCUCUUUGCUGUCAGAGGUGAAGUACCAAACAGAGAAGAAAGCAGAAAAUGAAGAGCUGAUGGAAUUUUUGACUACAGGGAUGCACACAACAGUUGAAUUCUGAUUCUCCCGUCUGCUUGCAAACUUAUUAAAAGUGUGACCUUGAAAACAGAAGAGGACAAGAAAAAUUGCAAAUGUCUUGGAAGUCUCCUUAUCUUGGUGUAAACCUGUAACACAUGUCUUUAAUAAAAGAAUCAGGCUAAGAGGGUGGACUUAUUAA